rnacentral:tRNA from 1 species
GUCUACGUAGUAUAUCUAUUAUACUGGUCUUGUAAGCCAGAGAAGGGAUUUACCUUCCCCGUGGACC